rnacentral:lncRNA from 1 species
GGCUCGCGCACGAUGCACGCACCCACUGACCUGCGCCCACUGUCUGGCACUCCCUAGUGAGAUGAACCUGGUACCUCAGAUGGAAAUGCAGAAAUCACCCGUCUUCUGCGUUGCUCACGCUGGGAGCUGUAGACCAGAGCUGUUCCUAUUCGGCCUUCUUGGCUCCUUCCCUGGGCUCUUUUAUAUUGCUGGCAAAAUAGUGACUCCCCGUGGAACAGAGUUGUUGUUCAGCAGAAAUAAUCAAGAGUUGACAUCAUACCAGGUAAAAAAUAGAAGCGGUAAUUUUGAAGGUGCUGUCAGAAGAGUUAUUGAAGUGGUCAUGAACUCUAAAGUUACAGAGGCAAUUAUGUAAAGAUAAAAGAUAAAGUCACAGUUCAACACUGGGGUAGAUGCUUGAGCAGU